AGAGUUUGAUCAUGGCUCAGAACGAACGCUGGCGGCGUGCUUAACACAUGCAAGUCGAGUGCGCGUUCCUGUAGCAAUACAGGAAUGGCGCACGGCGCACGGGUGCGUAACACGUGGGUAAUCUGCCCUCUGAUGGGGAAUAACUCCGGGAAACCGAAGCUAAUUCCGCAUAACAUUCCUUGGACUCCGGUUCGAGGAUUCAAAGGCGUAAGUCGUCGGAGGUGGAGCCCGCGCACGAUUAGCUAGUUGGUAGGGUAACGGCCUACCAAGGCUUUGAUCGUUAGCUGGUCUGAGAGGAUGGCCAGCCACACUGGAACUGAGACACGGUCCAGACUCCUACGGGAGGCAGCAGUGGGGAAUCUUGCACAAUGGGCGAAAGCCUGAUGCAGCGACGCCGCGUGGGGGAUGAAGCUUCUCGGAGUGUAAACCCCUUUCGACCCGGACGAAUGCCCCGCAAGGGGAGUGACGGUACGGGUAUAAGAAGCCCCGGCUAACUACGUGCCAGCAGCCGCGGUAAGACGUAGGGGGCCAGCGUUGUUCGGAAUUACUGGGUGUAAAGGGUUCGUAGGCGGUGUGGCAAGUCGGGAGUGAAAUCUCUGGGCUCAACUCAGAGGCUGCUUCCGAAACUGCUGUGCUGGAGUGUGGGAGAGGCGCGUGGAAUUGCAGGUGUAGCGGUGAAAUGCGUAGAUAUCUGCAGGAACACCCGUGGCGAAAGCGGCGCGCUGGACCACUACUGACGCUGAGGAACGAAAGCUAGGGGAGCAAACAGGAUUAGAUACCCUGGUAGUCCUAGCCCUAAACGAUCAGGACUUGGGGUGCCACCCGUUCGGGUGUCGUCCCGGAGCUAACGCGUUAAGUCCUGCACCUGGGGGAGUACGGUCGCAAGACUGAAACUCAAAGGAAUUGACCGGGG
rnacentral:rRNA from 1 species